ACUGGGGGGGGGUGCAGUCCCUCAGCCCGGAUUGCAAGAGGGCACAGGCCAGGCUGUGGGACCCCACCAGUGCACG
rfam:Myotis brandtii contig317121, whole genome shotgun sequence.